UACGAAGGGUGCUAGCGUUGUUCGGAAUCACUGGGCGUAAAGAGCUCGUAGGCGGCUUUGCAAGUCAGAGGUGAAAUGCCAAGGCUUAACCUUGGAACUGCCUUUGAAACUGCAAAGCUUGAGACUCGGAGGGGAUAGCGGAAUUCCUAAUGUAGCGGUGAAAUGCGUAGAUAUUAGGAGGAACACCGGUGGCGAAGGCGGCUAUCUGGACGAGUACUGACGCUGAGGAGCGAAAGCGUGGGGAUCAAACAGG
rnacentral:rRNA from 1 species